rnacentral:misc_RNA from 1 species
UCUCCGUUGGUGAACCAGCGGAGGGGUCAUUACCGAGUUAUCAACUCCCAAACCCCUGUGAACAUACCCAACGUUGCUUCGGCGGGACCGCCCCGGCGCCCUCGGCGUCCCGGAACCAGGCGCCCGCCGGAGGACCCAAACUCUUGUUUAAACCAUAGUGGCAUAUUCUGAGUCUCACAAGAAAAAUGAAUCAAAACUUUCAACAACGGAUCUCUUGGCUCUC